rnacentral:sRNA from 1 species
AGUUCGACAGGGUCGACGGCGCGCGUCACCACCAGGUAGUCGCGCAGCGCCACACUGUGCCGGUUCUC